CAAGUUGAAUUCACAUUAAUCCACAUGUGUUAGAGUGGAUUGAAGUGAAACUUGAACUAAAUUACACCUCAAUUCACCCUAACAUAUGUGGAUUGAGAUAAAUCCGAUA
rfam:Sorghum bicolor cultivar BTx623 chromosome 6, whole genome shotgun sequence.